rnacentral:lncRNA from 1 species
UUCCAUUUAAUCUGCGUCGCAAUCUCUCCAUUAGAGACGAAGAAAUAGCUUGAAAGUGAGACGAGAAGAAAACUGUAGAGCAUGAGCAUGCAAGGGGAACCAUAACAGUGUUAUAGGCAUAAUUUUUUUUAUUUGGAUACUAUAUCACCUUCCAAAUAACAUGGGGACUUCAGGGGCCGUUAGCUUCUUACAGGUAUGCAAUCUUACUUUUGGACACUUAUUGCUAUGUAUCGAGGAAACAGAAAAUUAGUAUAGGUAACAAUUGCGAAUUGAAAUAGAUGGGGCAAAUACGUGGCGAGUUUAAAACAAUGCUAAAAUGCCGAAUGCAAAGAAAGAUCACUCAAUUGCAAAACCAGAGGUUCUAGAGGGGAUUUUUUACAGACCCAUAUUAGUAUUCAACCAAGAAAACAUAUACACAGGUAAAAUCCAAACCAAACCCACUAAAUAAUUGCAAUCCUAAAUUUGUAAGUGGCAGUCCAAAUAUAAAUCUCCCUACUGGCCUACUCUUCUUUUGCCUAAUGGAUAAACAGAUUCCAACAACACAUACACAGACACCACCCUACAGCUAAUCCUUGUUGACACAAUCAGUGUUACAGUCAGCUGUAAUUUAAUACUACACGAAACCUAAAAAGAACAAAGUUCAUGAAUCACCACCAGCCUCAGCGACAGGAUGAUCAUGUUGACGUACAAACUGCCCCUUCACCCGAGGCCGCUGCUCUGCCAGUCUUUUCCGGCUUUGAUAUCGAACCUAUACAAGAAAUUAGAGUGCUUGUUAAUAAUAUCUUUAGUGAAACAUGCUAUAGGAGUUUCCAAGCCAACUGCAAUCAUAGAUAUAAAUUCACCAUAAAUAAUCUUAAAGUAGCCUUUUACUUAGUGCUGGUUAUAAUACCUUUUUCUCGAAGCAUCUCUCUUUCCGCUUCAGUCGAAACUUCACUAGCACUGCUUCUCUUUGACUGGAGCGAUGAGGAUCUGUCACUCUAAAUCCAUCAUAAUUAUGACAACCACUAUCACUGAAACCAUCUGGGGCGUUCUUGGAUACUAUAGCUGAAGUAGCAUUUCCAUCAUUUCCACUGUCCAUGCUUCCAUAUGCACUACUAUUGACAUGAUUUGCAGCAUCAUGGCAUAAACUAUUACCAGCACUCUGAUCAGCAACAGGAGAAUCAUGCCUUGCGUGAUCUGAAUCAGUAUUAUCCUUUACAUUUUGAUUAAGACAAGUAGCAUCAUUGGAGCAGUCAUGUAGUUGAUCUGAGUUGUGGCUUUCAGGAUAGGACUGGGUGGAGGUACUUGUGGGAAAGGGAGAACUCUCAUUCUGGCAGACAGGUUUUGGACUCGACAUAGGGUGAAUACCAGAUUGUGCAUAGAACAAAGAAGUGAAAACAUUACCAUGUCCCUCAGACUUAAGGUUGGAGAUAACCCCAGAAACAGGUAAGAGUCCACAUUGACUGUUUGAUAAUUUUGGUGUAACUUGUCCAUACUGACAAAUGACUGUACCGAUCAUAUUCUCCAGGUUCUGAUUUGAGCCACCAUACUGACAAUUUCCAGAAGUAAUUCCAGAUAAUUUAUGGGAUUCAUGAGAAUCCCAACUGAGGUUGUUUACUUCAGGAAAUGUAAUCGAUGGUGUUGAAAAAUGAGGCUGCAACAAUUUACUAUUACUAU